GACGAACCGUGCUAACGUUAUUCGGAAUCACUGGGCUUAAAGGGCGCGUAGGCGGGUGGUCAAGUCCGGGGUGAAAGCCUCCAGCUCAACUGGAGAAGUGCCUCGGAUACUGAUCGUCUCGAGGGAGAUAGGGGCGUGCGGAACUUCCGGUGGAGCGGUGAAAUGCGUAGAUAUCGGAAGGAACACCGGUGGCGAAAGCGGCGCGCUGGAUCUCUUCUGACGCUGAGGCGCGAAAGCCAGGGGAGCGAACGGG
rnacentral:rRNA from 1 species